ensembl:lincRNA Gm11820 predicted gene 11820
GAUGGUUGUUGGUCAUUUAUGGAGGUUGUUUGUGGUUUGUUAGUAUCCAUGGUCAAAGAAGAAACAAAAGAAAUUAGAUUUAGGGAUCUUCCUAAUUCCUCUCACCCCUCUAUUGUUUCUCUCAUAUCUAGUGUUAAGAGAUAAAACCAGGGGAAAAGGUGGGAAUAAAAAGAACUCAAAGUAGCAAAGACUAGCCACCAGUAUCUACCACCAAUGCUCUUCAAUAUAUUCUGUAAGGAAUAAAAUCACCUCAGCCGAUUGGCAUUUCUGUUGACAUAUGGAGGUCUGCAGUGGGAUGUUCUGGCAUUGAGAAUUGCCAUGCACUGAUGGCUGCUGGUGCUGCGGAUUGUUAGCAUCUACAAUCUUCAUUGAUCUCUACAGAAUCUGUACAUGACUUAAAAUCUUACUAUGUUCCAAAGCUUGGAGCAAAAGGAAAUACAAACACUGAAAGUAUGAAACUAUAAAUAUCAUAAAGAAAACAGCUAAAGAAGGAAUUGUAUUUCAUCUUGAUGUGAACUGAAAUGGACGUGGAUAUACCCUGGAGUCGGUUAUUAAUUCAGACAGAGGAGGCCACCAUCAACUGAUCUUUACAACUGAUCUUUGAAGGACAGGAGCGUGAAGCUAACUUCGGUUUUACUUGGCUAAAGUGUUUCAUUGACAAGAA